rnacentral:rRNA from 1 species
UACGUAGGGUGCGAGCGUUGUCCGGAAUUACUGGGCGUAAAGAGCUCGUAGGUGGUUUGUCGCGUCGUCUGUGAAAUUCCGGGGCUUAACUUCGGGCGUGCAGGCGAUACGGGCAAUACUUGAGUGCUCUAGGGGAGACUGGAAUUCCUGGUGUAGCGGUGGAAUGCGCAGAUAUCAGGAGGAACACCGAUGGCGAAGGCAGGUCUCUGGGCAGUAACUGACGCUGAGGAGCGAAAGCAUGGGUAGCGAACAGGAUUAGA